UCCUACCCAUACGCUGCCUA
rnacentral:siRNA from 1 species